AAAGGAAGACAUCUACAGUUGCAUGGUCUCCUGACCCUACAUUUGUUGCUGAAGAUGGUGUUGAGCAUGAUGCUGGGCUGAAGUUAGCUCUUCCCAUGUUCUUUAAUGAGGAAGUGAAACCAUGCAGGUUCCUUCCCACUGGUGCUCCAAAGUGCCUACUGCUUGGACGUGGACUGAAGUAGGUGUUUACCGGGAACACAGUCCGGGGAUCCUGACUUAGAGAUCAUUAUGCUGGCUACGCUUUGUUAAAGAAAAAUUUUUUCACGACAUUUGUUAAAGUCGGUAGAGCACUCAAGUGCCUAAUCCAGAAAGAAGAUGGUGCCGAGGAUGUCAUGCCUCAUCAGUAGAGCUUCCUGGGAGGGCACGGGGCCGAUUUUGGCAUUUUGGCGCCGAGGUGCUGAAAGUGAAGAAUAAAAGUCUACAACAAUCAAUAAAUAUCCCUUGCACACAUUCAUAAAGGACUGCAUUAUUAUUAUUUUUUUUUGGUGGAGAAGAUUGGCCCUGAACUAACAUCUGUUGCCAAUCUUCCUCUUGUUUUUGCUGACGAAGAUUGGCCCUGAGUUAACGUCUGUGACCAUCUUCCUCUAUUUUGUAUGUGGGAUGCUGCCACAGCAUGGCUUGAUGAGUGAUGCAUGGAUCCGUGCUCGGGAUCCGAACCUGAGAACCCCGGGUUGCUGAAGCAGAGUCCACGAACCCAACCACUACGCCACCAGGCUGGCCCCAAGGACUGCAUCAUUUUUAAUAUGAAAUGACUCCAAUGGGUUUUCUUGUGCCUUGAUAAUAUCAUAACUAUUCUUUGCUUUUCGUUUGCAAGUAUGUGCUUUGUCUUUGUUCAUUCUUUCCUUUUAAAGAUUUAUUUCUUUUGUUUCAGAUUAUUUUUACAUAUUUUAACACUAUC